ACCUGACAGACCUAUCGGAGGUCUGACACUUGCCACGACAGGAGCACAAAAUG
rnacentral:sRNA from 12 species